CUCUUUCUCUCUUCUUUAUUUAUCUCUGGUUUGUUGUUUAUUUGUUGGUUGUCCAUUGUCGAUGCUUUUGUUCCUCACUCUUUUUCCUGUUUGCACCCUUUCUCAUCCUAAUAUAUGAUGUUGUAAUAGUUGUGUGAUAAACAAUACUCUUUGUCACGAGCUCUGCAAUGCCUUUAGGGUGAGUUUAUCCCUAGUCUUGAAGGGAGUCUUGAGGUGAGUCUCAAGAGUAAGUCUUGGGAUAAUGUGGUAAGAGACUACACCAAGUCUUGAAGUGAGUUUGAAAAUCCAAGACUCACUCAAGACUCAUUUAAGACUCCACUUUUUUCUUCCUCCAAUCAAAUCAUGCCACAUCAUCAAACUUAAUUUAUCUUAUUUCACCCAACUAAAUUAUUGAUUGUUUAUGUAUUAUUUUGUUUCAUUUGCCUUUAAAUUUAUGUUCUAGAUCUUUUGAAUUUAAUAUGUUGUAUUAUUGUUUCUAAUUUGUACGGAAUAUAUGUCAAUUUCGAAAUUAACAUUUUCUGUUUUAUUUUUCAUUUUUUUCUCGAACUAUAAAUUACUUUGUUUGUAUAUAAGAAAACAUAAUUUCAAUAUUAUUUAGAAAAUGUACCCAAAAAAAAUAUAUAUAACUAAAAUAUUAUUUUAAGAGUUAGAUGAGUCUUAGGUGAGUCUGGGGAUAAUGUGUAAAAAUAGGGUGAGUUUUGUGUGAGUCUGGAUAAUGAAAAAGUUAGUGGAAUACUGAUGUGGCAGAGUCUGAAGAUUGGAGGUGAGUCUGGGGAUAAACUCACCCUUAGGAAGAUUAGUGUUUGCCAAUUUUGAAUGAUAUACUGGCACUAUAUAUUCUGAACUAGAGCGGUCCAAAAUGUAUUAUCAUAUUCUCUACAUGAAUGUUUAUUUAGGCUGAACUUCUUAUGCUUACGGGGACUUCUUGGAUAUACAGGGUCAUUAGGAUGUAUACAAGUAUUAAGAGGCCAUUGCGAACAAACUUAAACUUAAUAGAAACUUCUCUCUGCUCCUUAUUAAAUCAAACCUACAAGACUCCAGUGCCAGUGCGUUGUAGAGGUCCCAGAUAGAACUAUAAGAGUCUGAUUAAUGGUCUUCCAACAAUUCCGACUCUUCCGAGGUUUCACAUUAUCGGUGUGUUUGGAUAGAAACAUAGAAGCGAAAGGAAAGGUCAUAUAUUCUGAACUUCUGAGUGGUCAAAUUUAUUAUCAUUUUCCCUGCAUGAAUGUUCAUUUGGGCUGAACUACUUAUGCUUACGGGACUUUGUGGGAUAUAUACACAGCCCUUGGGAUGUAUACAAGUAUAUAAAGGUUCCUUAUAAGUAAACUUGCUCUUAAGUUGAAACUUCUGUUAUCCUUUGCGUUAUUACUCUUUAUUAAGUCAAACUUAGAGUCCUCCGGUGCCAAUGCGCGCACAGUUGCCAGAUAGUUGUCAGAUUAAUGUUUUUUAUUACUCUUUAUUAAGUCAAACUUAGAGUCCUCCGGUGCCAAUGCGCGCACAGUUGCCAGAUAGUUGUCAGAUUAAUGUUUUUCCAACAGUUCCGAGGAAUUUAAGGGAUUUUCUUCUAUGCAACAAACAUGUUUGAAAUGUCAGGUAAAGGUCUCCAUUUAAAUCUUCAUAUCAGAAGAUGGACACAAAUUCUGGUACUACUGCCUUGGAAAAUAUGUCUUACUUCAGAGAUCAGUGGCAGAACAUAAAUCUUGUUUUAUAAGCACAUUUAUGUUUCAUGUGCUAGAUCUCUUAACAUUUUCACUUUGCAGAUUGUGGUUACAUCUUUCAAUUCAGAGCAACUUUGAUUAACGAAGUAGAAAGAGCAGUACUACAUAUAACUAGCUGCAAUGCAAGUUACGUUUAUCUAAUCUGUAUAAGAACUUAUCUUCGUUAAUACAGAUUUCUGCAGCUGGAACUGUUGUAGCCUUAUCAGUGGCAAUUCAGCAAUUAAAGUAGCUUAUUACGAAACAAUUUAUAUCAAAGUCUUACUGCAUUAUAUAUAACCAGUUAGUCUCAUAGUUCCUAUAUGUGAUAAGAGUUUACUGUUCCUUAAUACAGAUCUAAUUUAUACUUAUUGCUAUAUCACAGAUACAACUGCUGUUUCGAGUGGAGAAGAACCUUCUUUACAAAAAUGUUUCGCCGUUAUCAGGUAACAAGAUGGUGACUAAUUGUAUUCAUUGUUGACAUUGUUGCCAACUUGCCAUGAUGCAUAUCCUCUCAUUAUCAUUAUUUUUAAGGAAUCUUCUUAUCUGAAUAUGCAUAAUGCUUUGACAUCCCAUCAAAAGAUAUGUUCACUUCAGGACUUUCAGGUAAGAAUGUGAUGUGAAAUUCUCAUGUUUAUCCGUAUCACCUGGUUAAAUUACUCUUGGUGGACGGCCUUUUAAUACUUGUAAGUAUCAUUAUAUUCACACUUUUGAUUGAUGUGCACUUGAUCUGAAUAUUUCUGGGUAAAAUGUUUGUUAUUUUUUUUUUCCUUUUAUAGUUGCAAAAUUGUCUUUAGUAUCAAGUGGCAAAGCAUUGACUAUAUUAUCCAAUCAGUAACUCGAAAUGACAGAAAUUCCACCUUAUCUUGUACACGUUCUGUAAUUAUUCAAAGGAAAUGAUACUCCUUAUAGAAUUGCAUUUAAAGAGCUAAAACUGGGAAUGUUUUGCUAAAUCGAACAUUAAUUAAUUAAACUAAUUGGCGCUUGAUUUUGUCAUGUAUUCCUAAAUUGAUAUCACUAGCCUUAUUCAAUACAAGGUAGAAUACUUAAAUCUUUUUCAUGUUUGGCCAGUGCAGCUACACAUAUGACUUCUCGCCUAUCACUAGAAAAUACACCCAGACUCCUGUACUUAUUUUGGGCUUCCAUCGUCCUUAUUUCCCCCUCUGCCGAGCAGGUCCUUUGUAACCAAAUGAGUAAAUAGUUAAGAUAUUCCCUGUUAUGUAAAUAGUUAAGCCUUCUUCAACUCUGUAUCAUAUUCCAUUGUACAAAUUUUGGUCAAUCAGCUGCUAUAAUCUAUAAUGUGCAGAGGCAUUAGAUUUGGUUUUGAAACUCAUUUACAUCAGUUAUUUUGUUUCCAAUUUAACAUUAAAUAGAAUUUACAGAUGUGAAAAAAUGUGUAACUUGUAACCAUGUUACUCGGUUUCAGUUGAUCUGAUUACGUAUGAUCCUGAAAUUGUGUCGAUGCAGGAAUAUGCAGUAAAAAAUUAAAGAUCUCAAAAUUUCUGCAGAAUCUUCAUAGUAUGAUCAAACAAUAUUAUGAACUCAAGGUUAGAACAUAUUUAUUUUCUUUUAAUUCUUCUUCGCUUUAUGUAGGUACUCGAACUCAAAGUUUAGGAGUUGAAGCUUAACUUACAUCAAGGUUGGUAAGUGGAGUAGGACUGUAGGAGGUCUCUGGUUGAGCUACAGCAUGCUUUGUGUUCACUUUACUUUCUUUAACCUAUUCUGUUUGUAUAUAUUCAUCUUUUCCAUGGGAUAAUUACAAUAAUUUAAGCACUAAAAAAUAUGAAGAAUGCUUUAGAUAAACUAGUUUGUGGUAUUACUUUGGAUAUUUUGUGAUGGUGAUGCCACAAAAAAAAAGCAGUUAUGUUUUUAAGUGCUUAUAGUAACUGAGGUCGGCAAGAUUCGUUGAUCCCCUAGAAUCAUCCUAUCUAUCCAACCUCAAAUAUGAAGAAUAUAAGAGUGUUUCAUUUUACACCCGGGUGAGCAGUGGAAUCUGCUCUCACGUUGAUACAUAGUGUAAUAUUAGCUAAGGCCUCUAAUUGGCUGUUUGGCUCCAAGAAAAUAUGGGCAGAUAAAAAAUGAUGUAGGAAGGUUUCCCUUAAUCCAACUUUUGGGAUGUUGCAAAAGUCGGAAGUGUAUAAUUGAAGAUAUUUCGUACAUUUUUAAUCAUUAGGAAACUUUGAAGGAAACUUUGAAGGAAGAUGAAGAUUAAAGAGUGGCCUACCACUGCAAAAAUCAAAUUAAAGUUGGUAUUAUUAAUAGUCCUCGUUGGUCCAUGCCGCCAUUAAAAUAGCACUUCCGGUGAAGCUGUGUCGCAGUUUGAGCUUGAAAUCGCAAUGGAGAGUGAUAGUUAUAUUUAUUAUAGUGAACACAAUGAUGUUAACUUGGCCUACUUUGUUCGAGUUCGUGGCAAUCGUAGUGUACGUAUUUGAUCAUCUUUUCAGUGCCUUAUCUGCUUCAAGUAAUGCUCUAUCUGUUUCUACUUUAUAGGAUCUUUUUUUUAUCUUCUUAGAUAUGUUUUAGUAAACAUUGAUUAGUAUCAUUGCUUUUGUUGUUUUCUUGCACCUACUCCACCAUUUGCUUAUUCAAUCCAUUAAUUAUCUCUAUUAACAGUAGAUUAUACGCUUAUUAAAAUCAAUGCCGUAACGGGUUCUUCGCUGAGAGCCGAGAUUAAGCAAAUAGGGUUUAGUUUCGUACAAUCCAAGCACUAGCUAUGUGUUAGCAUUACCGCCUUAGUACGUAACAAGUUAUCACACAAGGGUAAGCUCCUUAAACAGAAGAGUGAAAAUCCCAUCACUCGAGGGACCAUAUGUAUCUCAUAGAUUAUGUAAAUAAUCUAAGGUUAUUAUGUAAAUUAUUCAGUAAAUAUUCCCUUGUAUAUUUCUUAUAAUAAUUACCUAUAAA